UACGGAGGAUCCAAGCGUUAUCCGGAUUUAUUGGGUUUAAAGGGUGCGCAGGCGGAAGAUUAAGUCGGCGGUGAAAUUUUGCAGCUCAACUGUAAAAGUGCCUUCGAAACUGGUUUUCUUGAGUGUGGAUGAAGUAGGCGGAAUUUGUGGUGUAGCGGUGAAAUGCAUAGAUAUCACGAGGAACUCCGAUUGCGAAGGCAGCUUACUAAACCAUAACUGACGCUCAGGCACGAAGGCGUGGGGAUCAAAC
rnacentral:rRNA from 1 species